GACGAACGCUGGCGGCGUGCUUAACACAUGCAAGUCGAACGAAGUGGCGAACGGGGGAGUAAUACGUGAGUAACCUGCCCUCCUUUUUGGGAUAAGCCUUGGACACGCGGUCUAAUACCGCAUAAAGGGGGCUGGGCUCGCGGCCUAUCGGCUUGUUGGUGGGGUGAUGGCCUACCAAGGCGGUGAAGGGUAGCCGGCCUGAGAGGGUGAGAGGACACAUUAGGAGUGAGGUACGGCCGAGACUCGUACGAGAGGCAGCAGUGAGGGCUAUUGCACAAGGGGCGAAAGCGUGAUGCAGCGAAGCCGCGUGGGGGAUGAAGGCGUUCGGGUUGUAAAACUAUUUCGCGAUCGAACGGGGAGGUGGAGAAGAAGCGGGGGCGAACUACUUGCCAGCAGCCGGGGAAAAAC
rnacentral:rRNA from 1 species